GCAUGUCGGGGCUUGACCUUGGUGAGCGCCGAUCGUUAGUCGAAGAGUUAAAACUCCGAGAUUUCAAACCGGAUUUGUAUUCCGACUGGACAAGUAUAAAGUUCAUUGGUAGUACAAUUUCAGGUUGUUGGCGUUCCAUGUUCGGAGAAUGGGUUUCCCUUCAAGGGUCUCCAGUCGGUAGGCUCUCGGACCAUAGGUGUCUGCUACCUUGUAGGGCCCUUCCCAGUUUGGAGCCAACUUCCCUUGGUCCAGG
rnacentral:lncRNA from 1 species